AAUGGCCGCAGUAAUUUGACUGUGCAAAGGUAGCAUAAUCAUUAGUUUUUUAAUUAAAAGCUUGUAUGAAAGGUUGGACGAAGUAAAUUCUGUCUCUAUAUAAAUUAAAUUAGAAUUUAAUUUUUAAGUUAAAAAGCUUAAAUUUUUAUAAAAGACGAGAAGACCCUAUAGAGUUUUAUAUAUAAUUAUUUAUAAUUAUUUAAGAUUAUUUUAUUUUAUUAAUAAUUAUUUAUUUUAUUGGGGUAAUAGAAAGAUUAAUAUAAUUCUUUUUUUAUUAAACAUAAAUUAAUGAAUAAAUGAUCCAUUAUUAUUGAUUAUAAGUUUAAAUUACCUUAGGGAUAACAGCGUAAUUUUUUUAAAGAGUUCAUAUCGAUAAAAAAGUUUGCGACCUCGAUGUUGGAUUAAAGAUUAAUUUAGGUGCAGAAAUUUAAAUUUUUGGUCUGUUCGACCAUUAAAUCUUUACAUGAUCUGAGUUCAGACCGGUGUAAGCCAGGUCGGUUUCUAUC
rnacentral:misc_RNA from 1 species